UUUUAUUGUUUGAAUAUAAUCAGUUAUGUUUAUUGCAUUUCAUUCCUUAUUUUGAAAUUACGAAGUAUCUUGCACAGCUAUCCGCCAUUAAAUGUUUCCUGAAAGAACUUGGAGCUGUUACAUCUUGAAUUUUGUGGAAUUUUGCGAAAAAAAAUAAAAUUUUGAUAUCAUGAAGAAAUAGAUGACACUUAUGGAAAAUUUUUGGAUGGAUUCAUUACGAACUGCCUUCAUUGACCUGUCAAUUGGUCAUAAACCUGAGUCCUUUCAGCCUUUAGAUGAUUUAUUUACAUAGAUGACACUUAUGGAGAAAAUUACAUAAUUGGUGUAGGAGUUAAUAACAAUAACCGCUUUCAUUGAGAUGGCAGUUGGCCAUAAACCCUAGUCCCUUCAGCCUAAAGAUGCAUUAUUUACAUAGAUGACACUUAUGGAAAUCACUUCUUUUUUGUAAAAUGUUGUUACCCUUAAAGAAUAGCUCUGAAGAUUGAACCAUUAUCUUUGACAAGUUAGCAUGUGCUAUACUCAGUUGGAACGAGGCACUUUGACUACUUGUUUUGUGGCUGCUUUCCCUUGGAAACAAAAAUAUUGAUGUUUAUUAAAUUUUGUUGCUGGAAUUCAUUACAAUUCUUGAAAUAACAAUUUUAAUGAUAUAAAAAAAUACUAACACUAUUGAAAAUGAUCAAAUUAUGCUAAUUUAUCGUUAUUUCAUAAAAUUUUACAUCCUGAACGACCAUGGUUUGUCAACCAUGUACACUGGAGGUAUUCAAUCAGAAAAACAAAAAGUAAACUUCUAAACAAUUUAUUACAGUAAUACAAUAAUUGAACUAGAAUAAAGACUGCUAAAAUACAUAAGUACAGUGAAGUAAGUAUGUGUAAGAAAUACAAAACUUACGCCUCAAAUAUCUGGCUCACUAUUAGUUGCAUGGCAAUUACAUAUUACUAUCUUCAAUAAAUUCUAAACUUGCUCAGUCAAAAUAGUUGAUCCAGUGAUAGAUACGUGAAUUAAAUGAAGAUAUACUGAAUUAUGCAAUUAUUUUUCAUUGUUAUUAAGUACCUAAACAUAUGAAACUGUUUUUGCGCCAAAUUACGUUUUUCAUUUUGAAUUUCAUAUAACUUACUAUACUUUGCAGCACCUAGUAACAUCCAAUUCAGGAUAGAAUCCUUAAAUAAAUUACAUUCAGUCGAAUUCUACACUUAAAAUGCAUGUCAUUUCAAGCAAUGGACGAUGGUCAUAAUAUAAAACAGUUUUCUCAGUCAUAACACUUCGAAAAGCAUUUAUCUUUCUUCUGAACAAUCGAAUAGUCAGUAGAUGUUCAUAAUUACUAGAAAACUACAUUCAUGCAUU